CGGUGACAGGUGGUGGCAUGGUUGUCGUCAGCUCGUGUCGUGAGAUGUUGGUUAAGUCCCGCAACGAGCGCAACCCCUAUUGUUAGUUGCCAUCAUUCAGUUGGGCACUCUAGCGAGACUGCCGGUAAUAAACCGGAGGAAGGUGGGGAUGACGUCAAAUCAUCAUGCCCCUUAUGACCUGGGCUACACACGUGCUACAAUGGUUGGUACAACGAGUUGCGAGUCGGUGACGGCGAGCUAAUCUCUUAAAGCCAAUCUCAGUUCGGAUUGUAGGCUGCAGCUCGCCUACAUGAAGUCGGAAUCGCUAGUAAUCGCGGAUCAGCACGCCGCGGUGAAUACGUUCCCGGGCCUU
rnacentral:rRNA from 1 species